GACGAACGCUGGCGGCGUGCUUAACACAUGCAAGUCGAACGAUGAAACCUAGCUUGCUAGGUCGAUUAGUGGUGAACGGGUGAGUAACACGUGACUAACCUGCCCCUUUCUCUGGGAUAACGCUCCGAAAGGAGUGCUAAUACCGGAUACUCACACCGAGGCACAUGCCUUGGUGUGGAAAGUUUUUCGGUUUGGGAUGGGCCCGCGGCCUAUCAGCUUGUUGGUGAGGUAACGGCUCACCAAGGCUACGACGGGUAACCGGCCUGAGAGGGCGACCGGUCACACUGGGACUGAGACACGGCCCAGACUCCUACGGGAGGCAGCAGUGGGGAAUAUUACGCAAUGGGCGAAAGCCUGACGCAGCGACGCCGCGUGAGGGAUGAAGGUCUUCGGAUCGUAAACCUCUUUCAGUAGGGACGAAGCGAAAGUGACGGUACCUAAAGAAGAAGCACCGGCUAACUACGUGCCAGCCGCCGCUGUAA
rnacentral:rRNA from 1 species